rnacentral:rRNA from 1 species
UACGGGGGGAGCAAGCGUUGUUCGGAUUUACUGGGCGUAAAGGGCGCGUAGGCGGCCACCGCAAGUCGACUGUGAAAUCUCCGGGCUUAACUCGGAAAGGUCAACUGAUACUGCGGGGCUAGAGUGCGGGAGGGGCAACUGGAAUUCUCGGUGUAGCGGUGAAAUGCGUAGAUAUCGAGAGGAACACCUGCGGCGAAGGCGGGUUGCUGGGCCGACACUGACGCUGAUGCGCGAAAGCCAGGGGAGCGAACGGG